AAAGAGAAAGAAAUUCCACCAUACAAAUUUGGUGAAAGGUUUUUACUCGCAUAUGCAAGCUAAUCUCAAGGCCUCCUACAGGCUACAGCUGAUACAAUCCCAGAUGAUCAGCAUCCAGAGGAAUGCCAUGAAUUUAGACAGAUGUAAUGGCAACUAUGAAGAUAGUUAACCUCAUGGAGCUGCCACCUAUUGUACUAAUUGGUGAUUUAUUUACAACCGGAAGUAAAGAAUUAUAUUAUCCACGUCCUCUCCUGGACCUGCGGAUGAACCCCAGGCCUCUCCUUCUGAACGGACCUCCCCACUCGUGCCCCCAGAACCAUUGUCAUCAACACCGACUGGAAGACAACAAUAUGAAGAUCCAGUGGGAUAUCUAAGCCAAUCCACCUUGUAUUAAUUUUCGCGUUUUCGAAGAAAUCAAUUAAGCUCAUGUCUGAUAAGUUGCAAUGUGUUGAAAUGUGAGGCCUUUUGAAGACUUUCAUAGUGGAGCCUGCUCCCCGUCCUUAGAGCCUGCCAUAGAUAAGGAACUACGACAUUCUGAUAUGACAAGAGGCAACAGUAACCCAGCACAGGUAGUCCUGGAAGGACUGGCAGCCAAUCUUAAGAACAAUGGCUUAGGGGGAACUGAUGCUAACCCAAUGGCUACCCCUGGAAAUUCUGGUACGAUUAAAUUUAUUUAAUGCGUAUAAAACCGCUCUGCCAUUUAAAGGGAAUAUCUGGAGACACCCGUAUGCAGUUAUUAAGUAUGUAUGCAGCCCAACCUUCCUCCUCAGUUUUUGUCGCAAAUUGCAAUCUUGUCUCUUCUGA